CCGGGGGGCCGGGCAGCCGCGGGUGCCUUUCGGGGUGCACGAGGAAAGUCCGGGCUCCACGAAACAAGGGUGGCGGGUAACGCCCGCCGGGCGGUGUUCGCAUCGUCAAGGGAAAGUGCCACAGAGAGUAUACCGCCGAUGGAGGGCGACCUCACAGGCAAGGGUGAAAGGGUGCGGUAAAAGCGCACCGGGGCGCUGGCAACAGGGUCCGCAUGGCAAACCCCACCCGGAGCAAGGCCGAAUAGGGACGGCGCGCUUUGCCGCAAGGUAGGGCAGGGGUGUUUCGCCCCGUGAUCGUCCGGGUUGGCUGCUUGACCGCACAUGGCAACAUGUCGGCAAGAGGAAUGGCUGCCGACGGGGAUACGGUGCCGCAUGGCAUACCGUCCGCGUUACAGAACCCGGCUUACAGGCCCCCCGGUGUA
rnacentral:RNase_P_RNA from 1 species